UAGUACCAUGACUGCGAUGAAUCUUUUGAAAGAGAUGUUUUGAGUGAUGUCAUAGAUAAAGGCUCUAAAUUUCUUUCCGUCUGGUCUGGGUGAAUAAUUAGCAAUAACAACACCAACAAACAACGUCAAACCGAUCAUACAGCCCAGGAAAAUAUAAAUAUGGAUAUAAAUCGCAUGGACCUAAAAAUUGAUCAAGCUGUAUCAUCAUACGAAUGAUUUAAGGUCUGAAUGAAAGUUGAUAUAGAAACCUGGAAAUAUGUGAAGCCAGAAAGGUAGAAGAGUGGAAUGAUGUGAAUGGUAG